rnacentral:rRNA from 1 species
GGGGGGGGCGGGGGGGGGGCCGGGGGCGUGCAGGUCGGGCGAACGGACGAGGAGCUUGCUCCUCUGACGUUAGCGGCGGACGGGUGAGUAACACGUGGAGAACCUACCUAUAAGACUGGGAUAACUUCGGGAAACCGGAGCUAAUACCGGAUAAUAUAUUGAACCGCAUGGUUCAAUAGUGAAAGACGGUUUUGCUGUCACUUAUAGAUGGAUCCGCGCCGCAUUAGCUAGUUGGUAAGGUAACGGCUUACCAAGGCAACGAUGCGUAGCCGACCUGAGAGGGUGAUCGGCCACACUGGAACUGAGACACGGUCCAGACUCCUACGGGAGGCAGCAGUAGGGAAUCUUCCGCAAUGGGCGAAAGCUUGACGGAGCAACGCCGCGUGAGUGAUGAAGGUCUUCGGAUCGUAAAACUCUGUUAUUAGGGAAGAACAAAUGUGUAAGUAACUAUGCACGUCUUGACGGUACCUAAUCAGAAAGCCACGGCUAACUACGUG